UACGAAGGGGGCUAGCGUUGCUCGGAAUCACUGGGCGUAAAGGGUGCGUAGGCGGGUUGUUAAGUCAGGGGUGAAAUCCUGGAGCUCAACUCCAGAACUGCCUUUGAUACUGAAGAUCUUGAGUCCGGGAGAGGUGAGUGGAACUGCGAGUGUAGAGGUGAAAUUCGUAGAUAUUCGCAAGAACACCAGUGGCGAAGGCGGCUCACUGGCCCGGUACUGACGCUGAGGCACGAAAGCGUGGGGAGCAAACAGGG
rnacentral:rRNA from 1 species